ACAUCCACGAAUGGAACGUGCAAAGAUCCUUGUCUUUAUAUACUCUAUUUUAGAAGGUACAGGCAAGCACUAAUCAAUAGCAUAAUAAGAAAGCCAAGUACACGCCUGCUGACUGGUGCUCAGUGCGGACAAAGUUUUCCAGCAGAGGAGGGUGAGGGAACUGGGGUUGGAGGGAGUUAGAAUUCUAAGGAUGGUUCUCAGGGUAGGCUUCAUUGAGAAGGGGUAAAUGAAGCAAAGAUUUGAAGCAGGGGAGGGAGCUAGCCACGCAAAUAUCUCGAGAGAGAAUAUUCUAGAACAGUCAUAGCAAAUGCCCUGAGUAUGCCUAGAGUAAUUACACAAUAGCAAGGCAGGCACUGUGGCUGGAACAGGGUGAGUCUGGUUGGCAUAGGAGGGAGGUCAAAGAGGCAUUCGUGGUGGUGCUGGUGGUGGUGGUGGUGGUGGACAAGGUCUUCAGAUGAUCCACAGCCUGUUUAGAUCUGAGCAUUUACUGAGAAUCACUGCAGCGUUAUAAGCAGAGAAGUGACAUGAUCUGAUUUAUAUUUUGCAGGAUGCUCUACUGAGAAUAGACUGCAGGGAAGAAAAGUAGAAGCAAGGAGACUGUCAGGAAGGGACUGCAGUAAUCCAUACAAAGGAGUCAUGGGGGUGCGGCAUGGUGCCCAGACAUGAUCUGCACCUAAAGCCACAUUUACCACGGGCUUCCACAUUCUCACUUAUAAUACACAUCCCACGUCUUUCCACUCUCAGUGUAGUCUCUUCAAGUUUGCCUCUGCUUAGGUAUCAGCUCCAGCUCUGGCAGGAAUUUCAUAAAGAACUACUGGUUGGGAUCAUCCACUCUGCAGUGCAUUGGUUUCAGGCCUGAUGGUUUCCACCAAAAGUUGUAGCUGUCAAAUGCUGGACCUGCUUGCUCUCUGCCCCAAAUGUGGAUACCUAUUCAGUUGUUUGUUUUCGCAUGGUCUGUUGGUUUUUCUGGCCUAGCUCCUACUCAGAUCCAACCCCUGCGCAACUUCUACCUUUCUGCUUCACCAAGACAGAUGUAUGAGCGUACGCCAAAAGCACUAAACAGUUAAAGGAGGCUGGGACUUGAAGUCCGCUCGACAAGGGGGCACCCAGCAGCUGUGCAAUGCAGUCUAGAGCUACUGUGCUUAGGAAUGUUGAAAGAGUAUCUCUUUCCCAGUGUUAGGUAUCACAUGCAUAUAUUGCGUACAACUUCUAAGGGGCUAUCAUCUCCUUUAUUUCAUGGGAUCUUUGUAAUAUUCCUAUGAAGUAUGUUGUACAGAUGGAACUGUCACACGUUUUUAUAGUUUUCUCAACUUAUAAACUGAAGAUCAGAAGGAUGAAAUAAACUGUCUCAGACCACACAGCUAACACAUGGUGGAGUCAGAACACAGUUCCAAGUCAUUUCACUCCUGGUGCGUGAUGCUGUCCAAACACUCAGGCAGCUCUGGGUGACAACAAAAAACAGGUUUUGAAGACUUCUGUCCAAGCGGAAGCUCUAAACUAGGUUAUCUAGCUUCUGACCUCUAAAUUUUACUAUUUUGUUCUCAAGAGGAAAUGACAUCAAUUAACAAAUAGUUUUAUUUCUGGUGAGGAUUAAGUGAAUGGCAAAGAAUGAAUCCAUUUGCCAAAAACUGUCAUUGCAAUUAUCAUUAGGACUUCAUUGAGUUCCUGCCUGAGUGCUGUCAAACACUAGAAGAAUCAUAUGGGCCUCAUGCUACCUCCAGGAGGGGGACUGUAUCUUUGGGAAAGCUUCACUUCAUGUCUGUCUUCAUCACUGGCUCUUUCCGUGGUCACUGUUCAAUAUAAAUUCAUUUUUUUAUUUACUAAAUACUUCUCUGAGGAAGAGUGGGGAAAAUGAUUCAAGUCUGCCUUCUCUUUAUCAACUCCAUCGUGAUCCACGUUGUUACAGGUUAAUUCAAAAAGGAAAAAAAAAGGGAAAAAUAAUCUUUAUCUCCUCUUCCAUAGAAAAUAGAAGAUUGAAUUAAAAAAGAGUUUGAGAUGUCUCCCCUAGGUGAACCAUGAGAAGAAAAAUUCACAGAUGCAGGAGAAAAAACCCACAAAAUUAUUGUUUUAAAAUGUGUUUGUAUGAAAACAUUUGUUAAAUGCAAAGAGUUUGGGGAAGAAAUAUAAUAGUUGAGAAAAGGGAAACUUCCCUUUUGUUACUCUAUUUUUAACUAUAGGUAGUUUAUGUUCCCCAAAAUUUUCAAAUGAAGAUCUAUGAAUUAUCCUUGCUAGUGAGGUUCUGUUGCAUGUAGAUGUCAUGUAGCUAGUGUACGUACCCUGAAUGCAGUCUCUCUGCACCCCACACUUCUCAUCCAGGCCUGAGUUCUGCACUUUGACACCCAUAGAAGGCUGGUUUAGUGAUGGAUUUGCAUUUACUACUAGCCAGGUGAUAUCACCACUUAUAUUUUCAAAGAUAUCCCAGUCCGAACUCUGUAUAUUCAGAACAGAGCCCUUGGCCCUUGUCCCCUGCCACUCUCCACUCCUCAAAUAAGUGGGCAAAAAAUAUCUUCCCCAUUCUCCAUCUGGUUAAAUUGUUCUCACCAUCCAUCCACUUGCCCAAGUCAAGACCUCAUCCUUACUGCCUUCUUUCCCCUCACCCCUGACUUCCCAUCCAUCACUACGUCCUGGUUCUUCUUCCCUCAAUAUAUAUUUGCUAAAUAAAUAAAUGAAAUCAGAACCUGGAUAAAGAAAUAAAAAAUAUUAUGAUUUUCCAUAAACUUAUAUAAAUUUUGAAUAUUAGUGUGUAAUUGACCUUAAAGGCUAUCUGUCCCAAUUUAUCCACUUUUAUUAGAGAAGACAGCUGAAGACUAAGGAAGAAAGCUCUAGAUUACAUAUUUACUGGCAACUAUGGCACCUAAUGUUCUUUACAAAGUACAUCUUAUAUUUUAACAAGGAUCUGAAAGGUGGACACUGAAUUAGGAAGUAUUGUAUAUUGGAUACUAGUUAAAUCUUACCCGAUAAAUAAAUGUAGUACCCAUUGUUAUAAAUACUGGAAUACUGAGAAGUCAGGUUGUCCAUCUCUCGUCUUGUUUAUAAAUAAGAGUCCUUCGGGAGAUCCUAGCAUAUCAGAUAUCUGGUCUACAAAGAGGUUGUGGCCAGGUUUCAUAAUUCCCUAUAUCAAACUCCCUCCUCAAUCAUUGCAUCUGCUGGCCACCUUAUCACAUAACACACAACCAGCUUAUUAAUAUAAAUUAGAGGACAGUCACCAGGAGGGCUCCAAUCAAUUCAAGGUAGACUCCCAAAGGAACCAGUUGUCUGAGUAAUUGAAACAAAACAAACAAACGAAACACAGUUACUUCACAUCUAUCCCUGGAGGUUGCUUGCAGCUAGGGCAAUUGAACACUCUUCUAAUUGAACAGGGAAAAUAAGGAGUGGUUGCUGCCUCGUACUGAACAGAUUCCACACAGAUGCUUCAUCCUUCCCUGGCGGGACCUGGUUAUGUUUUCACCAGAUUCUAAAUUUUUAUUCCAAAGGACUUUAUCACUUCCAUAUAAUUCCCAUUGGUCACAGGCAGGCAGGAUCAAUAAAGAUAUAAUCCCACAGACAGUAGCAAACACAAAUGUUCCUGAUGAAUUCCAAUCCUGAAAUCCAGAGUCCAAACAUGCUGUGACCAGCUGGGAAUUUGCUCUAAGCUGUCAUCAGUCCCCAACAUCUAAAAUUUCCCCAUGGAGACAAAAGAUGGAAAAGCUGUGUACAAGCUUGGUUCCAUCUUGCAAGGCAGUAUGUGUAAGUAUAAUUGUAGCCUUUUCCAGAGCCAUUUGAAGGGACAAAAAAAGAGGAAGGGAGAAGGGAAUUGAUGCCUAUCAAAAAUGUUGUGGUAAUCUCUUUGAAUGACCAUCAUCACCGUGAAUUCCUGUUGCUCUCUUUCUCUUCCUAUCUUUCCUCUUUCUUUCCUGACAUCUUUAUCGAGAUAUAGUUCAUAUAACAUACAAUUCACCCAUUCAAAGUAUACAAUUUAACUGAUUUUAGUUUGUUCACAGAGUUGUACAACAAUUACUACGAUCAAUUUUAGAACAUUUUCAUCACCCCAGAAAAGAAAUCCUGUAUCCUUUAACAGUCACCUCCAAUCUCCCCAUCUCCCCAGUUCUACACAACCACUCAUAUAAUUUCUUUUCUCUCUAGAAACAAAUGACUAUUCUGGACUUUUUGUGUAAAUAAAAUUAUGCAAGAUAUGGUCUUUUGCGACUAGCGUUUUUCACUUGGUAUGUUUUCAAGGUUCAUCCAUGUUGUAACAUGUAUCAGUGUUUUAUUUUUUUAAUUGCAGAAUACUAUUAUAUGGCUUGACUAUAUUCUACUUAUCCAUAUAUUCAAGUAUCCUUUAAUAAGGUAUACGUUUGUUUCUUUUUUGGACUAUUUUGAAUAAUGUUGCUGUAAAUAUUUAUGUAAAAGUUUUUGUGUAGCCAUACGUUUUUAUUUCUUCUGGGUAUAUGUCUCGGGGUGGAAUUACUGAGUAUUAGGGUAACCACACCCAAACUUUUGAGGAACUGACAGACUUUUUUUGAAAGCGGCUGUACCGUUUUUUCAUUUUCAUAUAUACGAGGUUUCCAGUUUCUCUACAUCCUCAUGAAUACUGGCUACUAUCUGUCUUUUUUAUUACGGUGAAUGAAAGUGAUAUCUCAUUAUGACUUUGGUAUUUAUUUCCCUAAUGAUCAGUGAUGACAAGCAUCUUUUCAGGUGCUUAUUGACUAUUUGUGUAUCUUCUUUAAGUGAAUGUCUAUUCAGAUUUUUUGCUCAUUUAAAAAAUUGGUUUGUCAUUUUAUUAUAAAUUGCAGGAGUUCCUUCCCUGUUGCUUCCUUGUUAAUGAUUGUAGAGGGCAAUUCAGAAUGUUCAACGUAUAUUUCAACACAUUAUAAAUCAUUAGAACAAAAUAAAUUCUAUAUUUCUACCUAAGAGUGAAAGUAUUUCUGGAUCUUUUUAUUUUCUGUGUGUGUGUGUAUGUGUGUGUGUAUGUGUGUGUGUUUGUGUGUGUGUUUGUGUGUGUGACGGAGCUUCACUCUUGUCAUCCAGGCUGGAGUACAAUGGCGUGAUCUCGGGUUCAAGUGAUCCUCCUGCCUCAGCCUCUUCAGUAGCUGGGAUUACAGGCGGCCACCACCAUGUCCAGCUAAUUUUUGUAUUUUUAGUAGAGAAGGGGUUUCACCAUGUUGGCCAGGCUGGUCUUGAGGUUUCACCAUGUUGGCCAGGCUGGUCUUGACCUCCUGACCUCAGGUGAUCCACACACCUCAGCCUCCCAAAGUGCUGGGAUUACAGGUGUGAGCCACCAUGCCCGGCCUGUAUCUUUUUCUUACCUCCAGCAAUCUCACAGAUGCCCAUUAAAACUUCCAUUUGUGUGUUGCAUGUUGAAACCUUGUACAGUCAUUGGUCAUAUUUUUAAAUGGGCAAGCCUUUUGGUGAAUGGUCUGCUUGUCUCUAAACUAAAAUAUAUAAAACCUUAGAGCUAAAUAGAAACACUUGAACUGUCUGCUGUUUUUAGUUCUGAGACAAGUUUGAAGAUACAUUCUUUCUAGAUAGGUACAGUAAAAAAGAACAAUGAGAUUUCAUUGUACAGGGUAAAUGCUCAUUAAAUGUUGGUUGCAGGAAUAAAUGCACAGAAGGCCUUUGUGGGGCAUUGAAUUGUAAGAGCUUGGCUUUGUUCGUUUAGCAAAGCAGAAGAAGGGGCAGAAUUAUUUCCUUCUUGGUCAGAGAGUUUUUGAUCUUCUGAAGCCAGAGUCAAUAAUACUAAUGUCUUGAUGGCCCUGAAUGUUUUUCCAAAUUUGGACAGGGAGGAAGCUCAUUUGCAGAUUGAUAGCCCUAUCUACAAAUGGGUCUAUUUCCCAGUGUAGGUCAUAAUAUAUACAUGAGAUGGUUUCUGUCUAGGUAUGGAAGAGAAACAGAUCUAAGUUGUAUGUGAUUAUCAGACCAACUGCCUACUCAUAGAUCCAGAAGGAUGCUUAAAAGUCAUUUGUUCAGCAAUUAUAUUGCCCUUGCAGUUACCACUCCCUUUUUGAAGAUAAACUUGCAUUUCCUUUGUUUCUACCUCUGGUUGCCUAUUCUUUGUCUCUUCCUUGAUGUUAUUCAAUUACAAGUAGUAGAAAGGGACAGAGCUUCAAUUUCUGCAACAUAUCGGCUGUUUAAUCGUGGGCAAGUCACUUAACCUCAUUGAGUCUGUUUCCUCUUUCACACAUUUGGGAUGCUAAAUAUAACACACUUCCUCCCUCCUGUUCAGGACUGUUGCGAAUAUCAAUUUCUAUAAGGGAAGGCACUGUGCAAAAGGCUAAAUUCAAAACAAAUUUUAGUUGUGGUUGCUAUAAUUAUCUGGUAACCUCCAAUCAACGGCAUUAGUUGCUUCGCGUUUUCUUUUCUUUUCUUUUUUUAUUUCCAGUUUUGUUAACAUGGCAUUUGAAUUGAGGUUAAAACAAAUUACUAAAAUAAAGGUUCGAGAUAAAUGGCAGAUUUUUUGUCUGUAGGUUUCUUCUCUGCUAACAUAGACCAUAGAAGUGUUUGCUGGAAAAUAACCAUGGGUACAAAGACUUUGCUUCCCUGACCAAAAAAAAAAAAAAAAAAAAAAAAAAAAAAAAAAAAAAAAAAAAAAAAAAAAAAAACAGAA